CAGGUAGUAGUGGGUGUAGCGUACCUACUAGCCUACGACGGGUACGGGUUGUGAGAGCAAGAGCCCGGAGAUGGAUUCUGAGACACGAAUCCAGGCCCUACGGGGUGCAGCAGGCGCGAAAACUUUACAAUGCUGGAAACAGCGAUAAGGGAACCUCGAGUGCCAGGUUACAAAUCUGGCUGUCGUGAUGCCUAAAAAGCAUUGCAUAGCAAGGGCCGGGCAAGACCGGUGCCAGCCGCCGCGGUAACACCGGCGGCUCGAGUGGUAACCGUUAUUAUUGGGUCUAAAGGGUCUGUAGCCGGCCGGAUAAGUCUCUUGGGAAAUCUGGCAGCUUAACUGUCAGGCUUUCAGGAGAUACUGUCUGGCUCGAGGCCGGGAGAGGUGAGAGGUACUUCAGGGGUAGGGGUGAAAUCUUGUAAUCCUUGAAGGACCACCAGUGGCGAAGGCGUCUCACCAGAACGGACCUGACGGCAAGGGACGAAAGCUAGGGGCACGAACCGGAUUAGAUACCCGGGUAGUCCUAGCCGUAAACGAUACUCGCUAGGUGUCGGCCACGGUGCGACCGUGGUCGGUGCCGUAGGGAAGCCGUGAAGCGAGCCGCCUGGGAAGUACGGCCGCAAGGCUGAAACUUAAAGGAAUUGGCGGGGGAGCAC
rnacentral:rRNA from 1 species